UACCCUGAAAUUAAAAAAAUAAAUUACAUACUGGUUUGACCACAAAACAAAAACAAAAACUUAAACCGUACUAUGACUCCAUUGUGGAGUCCCAUGGUGCCGUGCGGCGGGGCAGUCGUCGCGCCUGCGCAGUGCAGGCGGCGGGCCGUGAUGAGCGGGAGGCCCCAGCGUUGGGCUGAGGAGAGGCGGGCGACCCGGGCCUUCCGUGGGCUAUGCUGCUUCAGUGAGGGGCUGCACCGCGGCCACCCGGCUUGUUGCUUUCCUGGGCCCAACUCCCCGGCUGGCCCGAGGCAACGCGCCAGUAGCGUGACGGCAAUUCCUCUCAGGUUUUGGGGCGCUGCUCUGAGCAGCAGCGUCACCCGUCAGCCCAGAAAGCUGGAGGCCAAGGAAGCCAGAGUGCCCGCAGGUGGUCGUGUCCUUCUCUGAGGACAGGCUGGCUGGCGUUCCUGCCCCUCGGAGGAAGACGACAAAAAAGCAGCAGUCUACAUGACACCUGUGGACAAGGGGGGCUACAGUAGGAGGACUCCACAAGCAAGCAGCAGAUCCCUGUGAUGAAGUCGAUUUUGUGAAGUUGAUGCACAGAAGUUGACAAUUGAAGUUGAUGCAGAUCACGGACUUCUCUGGCAAUGUCAUUGGGCAGGAGUGAUGGGGGAGCUUUUCCCCAAGGCUUGAGAGGUGAGAGUCACAAAGCUGAUGUCUAAUGCUAUGGAUUGCAGUAUUCCAGCGCCAAAUGAGGGGUUCUAAGUGACAGGAGUGCCUACAGUUUCUGUAAUACAUUUCUUUUUGCAUGUACGAUUGUGAGACGCAGAGAUCUCAACUAUGGGGCCUAGGCCUGAGGACAGUUCUAUUCUAAGGACACACUUCUUUUCAAAUCUGCCCUGUUAAUAGUCAAGAUAAAGUCAUUCAAUGUUUGUGAAAAAUAGAAUUAUAUAUGCUGAUAGACAGGCCAAGAGUAUAAAUAGUUAUUUCCCUCUUACUAAAACUUGUUUAUAAUGCUUACAGAAUUAUUUUAAGUUACUUUGUGUGCCAUGUGGUUAAACAAGAAAGUAAAAGCUUACUGCCAUGAAAAUAAAUAUCCCUGGCUGGCACUACUUCAGUAAUUUACCUAGCCUAAGGUCAUUCUAAAGCAGUUUAAAUGCAUCAUUAAUCCACAAUCCUCUAAAACACUAAAAUACUUAAAUAAAUUACAAUGGAGUAGGAUGAGCCUGAAGAGAGGAAAAAACUGUCAAGAUAUGAUACAUUUACAUGAUGCAGAAAAAAGUCUCUAAGACUCAUGAAUAAAUUAUUUCUGAAAUGAAAGGCAUGAUAAAGAGCCUAGAGGACAUGAUACAUCCAGUUUCAUUUGGUCCAGAAAGAUUAAGUAAAUGAAUCUUGGAUUUCACCUUUCUGCUUGUGAAUUUUCAUUCUCUUACUUUUAACCUUGGUAACUCAAAAUUUUCAUGUUCA